rnacentral:rRNA from 1 species
UAGGGAAUCUUCCGCAAUGGACGCAAGUCUGACGGAGCAACGCCGCGUGAGUGAAGAAGGAUUUCGGUUCGUAAAACUCUGUUGUUAGAGAAGAACAGCGCAUAGAGUAACUGUUAUGCGUGUGACGGUAUCUAACCAGAAAGCCACGGCUAACUACGUGCCAGCAGCCGCGGUAAUACGUAGGUGGCAAGCGUUGUCCGGAUUUAUUGGGCGUAAAGCGAGCGCAGGCGGUUAGAUAAGUCUGAAGUUAAAGGCAGUGGCUCAACCAUUGUAGGCUUUGGAAACUGUUUAACUUGAGUGCCGAAGGGGAGAGUGGAAUUCAAUGUGUAGCGGUGACAUGCGUAGGUAUAUGGAGGAACACCGGUGGCGAAAGCGGCUCUCUGGUCUGUAACUGACGCUGAGGCUCGAAAGCGUGGGGAGCGAACAGG